GGGCAGAUAGCUCAGCUGGUAGAGCAAUGGAUUGAAAAUCCAUGUGUCGCCGGUUCGAUCCCGGCUCUGCCCA
rnacentral:tRNA from 1 species